rnacentral:tRNA from 1 species
GGUUGUGGCUCAGCGGUAGAGCACUCGCCUGGCACGUGCGGGGCCCUGGGUUCAGCCUCAGCACCA